rnacentral:rRNA from 1 species
AGCGAACGCUGGCGGCAGGCCUAACACAUGCAAGUCGAACGAAGUCUUCGGACUUAGUGGCGGACGGGUGAGUAACACGUGGGAACGUGCCUUUAGGUUCGGAAUAACUCAGGGAAACUUGUGCUAAUACCGAAUGUGCCCUUCGGGGGAAAGAUUUAUCGCCUUUAGAGCGGCCCGCGUCUGAUUAGCUAGUUGGUGAGGUAAAGGCUCACCAAGGCUACGAUCAGUAGCUGGUCUGAGAGGAUGACCAGCCACAUUGGGACUGAGACACGGCCCAAACUCCUACGGGAGGCAGCAGCGGGGAAUCUUGCGCAAUGGGCGAAAGCCUGACGCAGCCAUGCCGCGUGGAUGAUGAAGGUCUUAGGAUUGUAAAAUUCUUUCACCGGGGACGAUAAUGACGGUACCCGGAGAAGAAGCCCCGGCUAACUUCGUGCCAGCAGCCGCCGUAAAAC